rnacentral:rRNA from 1 species
GAUGAACGCUGGCUACAGGCCUAACACAUGCAAGUCGAGCGGAAACGACGGGGUUGCUUGCUUCCUCGGGCGUCGACCGGCGCACGGGUGAGUAACGCGUAUCCAACCUGCGUGGGACAGAGGGCUAACCCGGCGCAAGUCCCCCUAAUACCCCAUGGCAGCGUCUGCGGGCAUCUAACGACGAUCACAGAUUUCAUCGGCCAGGUCUGGGUAGGGGUCGGAUUAGCUUGAUGGCGGGGUAACGGCCCACCAAUGCGACGAUCCGUAGGGGGUCUGAGAGGAUGAGCAGGUACACUGGAACUGAGACACGGCACAGACUACAACGGGAGGCAGCAGUGGGGAAUAUUGGACUAUGGGCGAAAGGCGGAUCCAGCCAUGCCGCGUGGGUGAAGAAGGGCUGCGGAUAGUAAAGCUAUUCAAGUUGGGAGGAAGGGCAGUAUGUGAAUACCGUGCUGUAUUGACGUUACCGAAAGAAUAAGGACCGGCUAACUCCGUG